UACGUAGGGUGCGAGCGUUAAUCGGAAUUACUGGGCGUAAAGCGUGCGCAGGCGGUUUUGUAAGCCAGAUGUGAAAGCCCCGGGCUCAACCUGGGAAUUGCGAUGGAGACUGCAAGGCUUGAAUCUGGCAGAGGGGGGUAGAAUUCCACGUGUAGCAGUGAAAUGCGUAGAGAUGUGGAGGAACACCGAUGGCGAAGGCAGCCCCCUGGGUCAAGAUUGACGCUCAUGCACGAAAGCGUGGGGAGCAAACAGG
rnacentral:rRNA from 1 species